rnacentral:rRNA from 1 species
CCAAUCGAACCCGGAGAUAGCUGGUUCUCCUCGAAAUAGCUUUAGGGCUAGCCUCAUACGAGUCUUGCGGAGGUAGAGCACUGAAUUCCUAAGGGGGCGUCAAAGCUUACUAAGGGAUAUCAAACUCCGAAUGCCGUGUAGAUGAUGUAUGGGAGUCAGACGAUCCGAGAUAAGUUGGGUGGUCAAAAGGGAAAGAGCCCAGACCAACAGCUAAGGCCCCAAAAUGUGUGUUAAGUGGAAAAGGAUGUGGGAUUUCGAAGACAACUAGGAUGUUGGCUCAGAAGCAGCCAUCCAUUCAAAGAGUGCGUAAUAGCUCACUAGUCGAGAGGUCCUGCGCCGAAAAUGUCCGGGGCUGAAACACACUGCCGAAGCUUUGGAAUUGAUGAAUUUCAAUUGGUAGAGGAGCAUUCUUAAAGAGACGAAGCAGUACCGGAAGGAGCUGUGGAUUUUUAAGAAGAGAGAAUGCCGGAAUGAGUAGCGAGAGGAAGGUGGGAAUCCUUCCGGCCGAAUAUCUAAGGUUUCCAGAGUAAAGCUGAUCUGCUCUGGGUAAGUCGGGGCCUAAGGCGAGGUCGAAAGACGUAGUCGAUGGAUAACAGGUUGAAAUUCCUGUACUAUCCUGUAACAGAACUGUGGGGACACAGGCAGAGAGCGUGAGCCGGGAAUGGAAAGACCGGUACAAGCGAGGUAGGAGAAGAGUUGGCAAAUCCGCUCUUCAAUCUGAAGACGUGAUGUGGACCGAAAAGAAGUAGGGAAGCACGUGAGCUGACUGUCAAGAAAAGCCGCUAUUGUUUGCAGGAUACCCGUACCGUAAACCGACACAGGUGGAUGAGGAGAGAAUCCUAAGGCCGACGGGAGAAGCAUUGUUAAGGAACUCGGCAAAAUGACUCCGUAACUUCGGGAGAAGGAGUGCCAGUAAGAUGGCCGCAGAGAAUUGGCCCAAGCAACUGUUUAGCAAAAACACAGGUCUAUGCAAAACCGAAAGGUGAGGUAUAUGGGCUGACGCCUGCCCGGUGCUGGAAGGUUAAGGGGAGAGGUUAGCGCAAGCGAAGCUUUGAACUUAAGCCCCAGUAAACGGCGGCCGUAACUAUAACGGUCCUAAGGUAGCGAAAUUCCUUGUCGGGUAAGUUCCGACCCGCACGAAAGGCGUAAUGAUUUGAGCGCUGUCUCGACAAUGCAUCCGGUGAAAUUGAAGUACCAGUGAAGAUGCUGGUUACCUGCGCCAGGACGGAAAGACCCCAUGGAGCUUUACUCCAGCUUGAUACUGGGAUUCGGUAUUGUAUGUACAGGAUAGGUGGGAGGCUUAGAAGUGGUUACGCCAGUAGCCAUGGAGCCGCUGUUGGGAUACCACCCUUGCAGUACUGGGUUUCUAACCAGCAGCCGUGACCCGGCUGGGGGACAAUGUCAGGUGGGGAGUUUGACUGGGGCGGUCGCCUCCGAAAGGGUAUCGGAGGCGCUCAAAGGUUCCCUCAGAAUGGUUGGAAACCAUUCGAAGAGUGCAAAGGCAGAAGGGAGCUUGACUGCGACACCGACGGGUGGAGCAGGUACGAAAGUAGGACUUAGUGAUCCGGUGGUAUAAAGUGGGAUUGCCAUCGCUCAACGGAUAAAAGCUACCCUGGGGAUAACAGGCUUAUCACUCCCAAGAGUUCACAUCGACGGAGUGGUUUGGCACCUCGAUGUCGGCUCAUCGCAUCCUGGGGCUGAAGUAGGUCCCAAG